rnacentral:rRNA from 1 species
UACGGAGGGUGCGAGCGUUGUCCGGAAUCACUGGGCGUAAAGGGCGCGUAGGCGGCUCGUGAAGUCAGUGGUGAAAGCCCCGGGCUUAACCUGGGAAUGGCCGUUGAAACUGGCGAACUGGAGUGUGGCAGAGGGGGGUGGAAUUCCGCGUGUAGCAGUGAAAUGCGUAGAGAUGCGGAGGAACACCGAUGGCGAAGGCAGCCCCCUGGGCUAACACUGACGCUCAGGCACGAAAGCGUGGGGAGCAAACAGG